rnacentral:rRNA from 1 species
AUUGAACGCUGGCGGCAGGCCUAACACAUGCAAGUCGAGCGGAUGAAGGGAGCUUGCUCCUGGAUUCAGCGGCGGACGGGUGAGUAAUGCCUAGGAAUCUGCCUGGUAGUGGGGGAUAACGUCCGGAAACGGGCGCUAAUACCGCAUACGUCCUGAGGGAGAAAGUGGGGGAUCUUCGGACCUCACGCUAUCAGAUGAGCCUAGGUCGGAUUAGCUAGUUGGUGGGGUAAAGGCCUACCAAGCCGACGAUCCGUUACUGGUCUGAGAGGAUGAUCAGGCACACUGGAACUGAGACACGGUCCAGACUCCUACGGGAGGCAGCAGUGGGGAAUAUUGGACAAUGGGCGAAAGCCUGAUCCAGCCAUGCCGCGUGUGUGAAGAAGGUCUUCGGAUUGUAAAGCACUUUAAGUUGGGAGGAAGGGCAGUAAGUUAAUACCUUGCUGUUUUGACGGUACCAACAGAAUAAGCACCGGCUAACUUCGUG